rnacentral:rRNA from 1 species
GACGUAGGGGGCCAGCGUUGUUCGGAAUUACUGGGUGUAAAGGGUUCGUAGGCGGUGCGGCAAGUUGGGAGUGAAAUCUCUGGGCUUAACCCAGAGGCUGCUUCCAAAACUGCUGUGCUUGAGUGUGGGAGAGGCGCGUGGAAUUGCAGGUGUAGCGGUGAAAUGCGUAGAUAUCUGCAGGAACACCCGUGGCGAAAGCGGCGCGCUGGACCACUACUGACGCUGGAGGAACGAAAGCUAGGGGAGCAAACAGG